rnacentral:lncRNA from 1 species
GCAUUUGCUUAAAUACUGCAUUCUAUGAAGUUGUGAAUGCUAGACUUUAACACCAAUAAAAUAAUAUGCAACUUUCUGGUGUCACAAAUAUACAAACAGAUACUUAGAAGCAAAGGUGCAUCUAAUCUGUUUGACCAUUCUGUAAUCUGCAAAGCCUUUCCAUUUUCCGUUUGAUAUGUUGUAAAUAAUCAUGACCUCCGACCUCUGUAUUCUUACAAUAUGCAACCUCUUAGCCCAG